UUAUUUUUUCUUUUUGCUACACCAUUUUGUUGAGGGGUGUAAGCACAAGAACUCUGAUACCAUGAAGAAGAUUGAGAGUUUGGGACAGAGGAGAAUCCUCUGUUAUUAUUAUUGGGCACAAAGGUGCCAAUUUAUAGGCAUUCGGCCAGAACAAACAAACGAGAUUAUGGAAAAUAUUCUAACAGGUUAACGGGUUGCAAUGGUAGUGAGCAUUUUCUAGCAGUCAUAACAAUCUAGUAAAAUACUAAUUUACCCCCUAGUGUAUUUACAUUUCUACAAAAAUGAAUGCCAGUAAGAGUUUUGCUGUUUUUAGCAGCUAACUUUUGUUGAUAUUUGGAGUUAAAUGUAAGGAACUUUUGUUGAUAUAUGGAUAAUCCUUCUUGCUUCAAGGGAAACUAAGAGAAAAUAAAGUGUGCAAAUUGAAAAAAUUGCUAUAUAGUUUAAAGCAAUUACCAAGAGCCUGGUUUGGAAGAUUUGUCAAAAUAACGCGUAAAACCAAAUACAAAAAUAUCUAGUGAGAUUAUAUACUCCUUAUAAAGCACUUGGAUUCAGAGGAAGUCUCUUGGUAUGUUUUAAUAUAAUUGUGACAGGGAAUGAAGAGAGAGAAGAAAACAUUGGGGAGAUGUCUAGUUGGAUAAUUAGAGACAAAAGAACUUAAGAGAGUGAAAUGAAACUAGGAAUUGAAGUAGCUUAUUUGAGGGAAGACAUCUUUAUUCAUAGCAGAAGUACAUGACCAAUUUCCUAAGAAAACAGAGAAGUUAGCAUAUAAACUUGUUUCCAUGACUACUGAGCAAAAUCAAAAAUUGUGAGAAAGCAAAUGAAGAUGCAGUUGUGGAAAAAGAGAUGUAUCCAGGGACUGGUAGGAACACUUAUUACUCAUACAAUGCCAUACAUUAAAUAUGCUAUGAGUGUGUUUAGUUAAUUUUUACAUAGCUUGAGAGAGGUUCACCUUUAUGCAAUCUACAAAAUGCUAAUGUUACUUAAAGUCUAAUCCUAGCAAAGGAAUUUUAUUCAGAAGGGCCACUAGAUUAGUAAUUGAUGCAUACACCUAGGCAGAUUAUGCAGACUCACAAGUUGAUAUGCAGUCUACUAUCAAUUAUUGUAGUUUCCUUGGAGGCAAUCUUUUAAACUGGAGGAGUAAGAAACAGUGUGGUUGCUAGAUCAAGUGCAGAGGGAGAGUUAGGACAUUGAUGUAGGGAGUGCAUGUAUUAUUCUGACUUAACAUAGUUGUGGAAAAUUCAAGGAUUAAAUGAGAUGGGCCAAUAAACUUAUUUUUAUGACAGGUCUGUCUUUAACAUUUUUCACAAUUCUAUGCAAUAUGACAAAACUAUGCAUGCUGAAGUACAUAGACACUAUGUAAGGGA
rnacentral:lncRNA from 1 species